UACGUAGGGUGCGAGCGUUGCCCGGAUUUACUGGGCGUAAAGGGCGCGUAGGCGGCCACCGCAAGUCGACUGUGAAAUCUCCGGGCUUAACCCGGAAAGGUCAGCCGAUACUGCGGGGCUAGAGUGCAGAAGGGGCAACUGGAAUUCUCGGUGUAGCGGUGAAAUGCGUAGAUAUCGAGAGGAACACCUGCGGCGAAGGCGGGUUGCUGGGCUGACACUGACGCUGAGGCGCGAAAGCUAGGGGAGCGAACGGG
rnacentral:rRNA from 1 species